CACCGCACGCUCCAAGGCAUAGCGGGGGGCUUCCUCCCGGCCCGGCCAGCAGAGACCGCAUCGGCACCGACCUGCGGGAGCGGAACAGCGGACAACGCACGGAUGCUGGACAUGCAUUUUGCAGUUGUGACAGAGUGCUGUGAACAAACUUGUGCCUCCAAACCUGCUCCUUGGACUCCCUCUUGGCUCUCAUGCCACAGACUGGGAGAUGCUGUCGAGCUUUUCCUUUGUAAGUAUCCAAAGGGUCUGGGCCAGGUCUGGCUCUGCUGCGUGAGCACCGGGCAGCGGAUGCUCAGCAUGGACCUGCAGGAGGGAGGAGAUGCUGCUGCAGCACAGGGAUGCUGCGGGGCGUGGGGCGGCUGCAGUGAGCCAUGGAGCUGUGCCUGGAGAGGUUUUCAUGUGUUGAAGUGUUUCUUUAUAUAAAUAGCAGUGAAGAAUGAGCUCUGACUUCUUGCUCCUCCCCCCAGCGAUCAGCAGCAUUUGCAAUAUCCAGAUUACAUGUGGAAUAAAUGGAGGAGAAUGUCUCACAUCAAAGGCUGGAGCUCAGAGUUUUUACUCUCUCUUGGAGAGGUUUGCUUGAAGCUAUGGCUACAUGUUAGGAGAGCAAUCGCAGGUGAGUUUCUAUUUCCCUUCCCGUG